rnacentral:tRNA from 1 species
GCACCCAUAGCUCAAUUGGAUAGAGCGGCAGCCUACGGAGCUGUAGGUUGGGGGUUCGACUCCCUCUGGGUGCACAA